CGAACGAAUAUAUAAAUUUCUAAAAAUUAUUAGUUCGACGAUGUGACUGACAAAAUGUAUUAGAGACGUGAACUUAUAGUCUAGGAAAAAAGUAUCAUUAGGAGAUGAGUACAACGAUUCUGGAAUAUUAUCAGAUGGAUAUGCUAGUAAUUAUACAUUUUUUAUGAUCGGAACUGUCUCAGAUACAAAUUGCAGUUUAUUAUUUUGAAAUCAUACUCAACAGCAUCCAAAUAAUAUACAUUCUAACAAACUAUUCGUAACUCACAAUGAAUGAUUUUUUAAUUGAAUAUUAACUUAUCUAUAUUAUUUACUGAAUUUAAACAAAUUGAUGAUUUUUAAUGGAUCUGAAUAGUGUUACAAAAAUCAUGUCUAUCAGGAAUAAUAGAUAUAUUCUUUUCUGUUCAAUUUUUGACGCAGAGUAUUUAAACGAGCGAGUAUUCUCAAGCAUAAAAUUAUUAUAACAACAAUUUCGAUAAUCAAAACAUUGGAAUGGACAGAGACAGAUUUCCAGAAAUGUCUGUAACGAUAAUUCUUCACCUAGUUUAGGAGAAUAAAUCGUCAAUUAUUGCUAAUUACCGCAAAUUUCUAUUACCAUCGAUAUAAAUUCCCAGGGAAGAGUAAAAACAUUUCGAUACAAAAAAUGCCAAACUCAUUGCUGUAACUAUAAGGAAUUUUGUAAUAUAAUCAGUACAAAAGAUGACACACUACUAGCGAAUUCAAAUUAUACAUUCGUGACAGAUUAUUUAGCACCAUAUGAAAUAUUAUUUAAAAAAUUAUUUCUGUUAAAAAUCGAAUAUUCAAAUGUUCUUAUUAUGCGUAAACAAUUCAAUGCUGAUUAAUUAUUUUAACCACAAAUUAUCAUGAUUAAUGGUCUAGCAAUGGAUUAAAAAUUAUAGAUCAUUGUAUGCAGUUUAAUCUGUUCUGAUCUCUAAAAUCUAGAACAUUUCCUAUUGGAAAAAAAAUGCAGGAAACGUUGGUACCAUUGAAUCUAUGUAAUUUCUCAUCUUCCUUGGAACGAUGAUCAUUUGCUCGAAGAAAAGUUCAGCUACAAUAUCAGUAUUUUUUAAACGAGUCUUAUAAAAUCGACUCCAAUUCUCUUUGUAGCUUGGAAGAUCGCUUAGAAGAUUAUCAAUUACAGAACCAUAAUAAUACCGAUCAGAAGAUCAUUCGAAAAACUAUUUGAAAGAUUGUUCAGAAUAUAAAUCUUCAUUAUAUUUCAGAUAUUCGUUUAAAAAAAUGUUUAUAUUGUAAGAUCUAGCAAUGUAAUGAUUAGUAGGCUUCUAAUAAAGUUGAGUAUGAAUUCAUCAACAA